rnacentral:ribozyme from 1 species
CUCUAUCUCGCGUACCUUCCGUCCACCCGUCCACGUCGGACGAGCUGGUGAUCGACCUGUC